rnacentral:lncRNA from 1 species
UAACUGGUAACACCUAAAUAUUAUACUGUUUACUUGUUUUUCCCUGAAACUAGUUAGAAUUGUUAGCCAGCUUACAUCUUUUGUUCUGAGGGACACAAUUUAUAUUUUAAAUAUAUAGCUCCUUUAAGAAAAUCUAUGUAUUCUUAGGUGGAAGCUAGAGCCUGCUAGACUGUUAAACUGUCUUUGCAAGAUGACUUUGUGAGCUUCCCUCUGUAGAGACUUUUAUUUUCCAUGUGGUACUCACAGGAAGGCUUUGCAAUCACCAUCGUAUGGAGCUCGAAUUCGAAAAAUCCUGAGCUGGAUAGGCGGUGCUUCUCCACUGUGUACAGGCUGAGAUCCGGCGUUGCAGGACGGUCACCAGCCAUGGAUGCUGACCCAGGGACCUAGAAGACAGCUUCCGCGCUUCUCCAGCUCCGGCACCUACUUAUUAGAACACACGGGGUCAAAGAGGUUAAGAAACUGGAGAUCUAAGGAAUGCGGUUUGAAAAUGAACCUGCUGAAUGAUCCCUUCCAGCCACUUAUGCUCCUCACUGUCCCCAGAUGCAGCUCAGCAGUCUUCCCAGCAACGGAUCUCAAUGCUCUGGUGAUGCGGAGUCUGAGGCCGGGACCACCAGGCUCUGCCAGGCACACCCCUCCGUGGGAGACAGGGGCAAAUGAACGGAGGCAGCUGAGACAGAGACCACGGGAGAAAUGAGGGUUCCUCUUGUGGACGUGAGCCAGAGACACUUGAUUUUUCUGGGGGCUCCAGCAGAGGUUUAAGCAGUAGAUCUUUGAGAAACAAUCAAGACUGACUUCCCUGUGCUUCCAGAGAUUCUGGAAGGUCUCUGGUGCCCUAUAAUAAAGAAUUUCAGUUUGAAUUAGUCUGCUUAGGCUGUCACAACAAAAUGCUAUCAACUGUGUGGCAUAAAUAGCAGAAAUUUAUUUUCUCACAGUUCUGGAGGCUGUAGCUCCUAGGUGAAGGUCUGGUAGGCUGGUUUCUGGGGAGGGCUCUCUUCCUGUCUUGCAAGUGGCUGCCUUCUCGCUAUGUCCUCACGUGGAGGAAAGAGAGUGAGCUCUCUGGUUCCCUUUCUAGAAAGACACCGACUUCAUCACCUCAGGGCCCCAUCCUUGCAACGUCAUUAGCCCUUAGCUGCUUCCCUAAGGGUCCUAUCUCUGUAUACAGGAACAGUGAGGGAGGG